AACAAAUAGAUCUCAAGAAGAAAAGUUAUAUAUUAACCCGAUGCAACGUUUGCCCCUAGAAAUGACGAACAAGGCUCUAUAUAUCACACAUCUGGUUUCUCUUCACUGGGACAAAUAUAUAUAUAUAUAUAACAAUUGAAAAGUACCGAAAUAUAUUAGUAGAUAGAAGAAGUUGGGAGGAGGGGAGGAUCGGAAGGACAAAUUUGCAGAGAACCUUGAGAACAUCUGCAGGCCACUCUCUAUUACGUGGUAUUGUAGUACAUCAGUUUUUUAUGUACUUAUUCCCUUCUGUGAGGACGCUUACGGACUGAUCGGAGAGGAUGGAGGGCUACCCCCCCGCCCCAGAACCCCUCUUCGCUUCAAGCCUCCAGAGGAAGGAAUGAUAACUCAUAAGGAGGGAUAUGAGGUGACUAUGUCAAGUGUGAAGCAG
rnacentral:lncRNA from 1 species